AUGAACGCUGGCGGCGUGCCUAAUACAUGCAAGUCGAGCGAACGGACGAGAAGCUUGCUUCUCUGAUGUUAUCGGCGGACGGGUGAGUAACACGUGGAUAACCUACCUAUAAGACUGGGAUAACUUCGGGAAACCGGAGCUAAUACCGGAUGAUAUUUUGAACCGCAUGGUUCAAAAGUGAAAGACGGUCUUGCUGUCACUUAUAGAUGGAUCCGCGCUGCAUUAGCUAGUUGGUAAGGUAACGGCUUACCAAGGCAACGAUGCAUAGCCGACCUGAGAGGGUGAUCGGCCACACUGGAACUGAGACACGGUCCAGACUCCUACGGGAGGCAGCAGUAGGGAAUCUUCCGCAAUGGGCGAAAGCCUGACGGAGCAACGCCGCGUGAGUGAUGAAGGUCUUCGGAUCGUAAAACUCUGUUAUUAGGGAAGAACAUAUGUGUAAGUAACUGUGCACAUCUUGACGGUACCUAAUCAGAAAGCCACGGCUAACUACGUG
rnacentral:rRNA from 1 species